GAUGAACGCUGGCGGCGUGCCUAAUACAUGCAAGUCGAGCGAACGGACGAGAAGCUUGCUUCUCUGAUGUUAGCGGCGGACGGGUGAGUAACACGUGGAUAACCUACCUAUAAGACUGGGAUAACUUCGGGAAACCGGAGCUAAUACCGGAUAAUAUUUUGAACCGCAUGGUUCAAAAGUGAAAGACGGUCUUGCUGUCACUUAUAGAUGGAUCCGCGCUGCAUUAGCUAGUUGGUAAGGUAACGGCUUACCAAGGCAACGAUGCAUAGCCGACCUGAGAGGGGGAUGGGCCACCCUGGAACUGACACACGGUCCAACCCCCUACGGGGGGCAGAGGUGGGGAAUUUUCCCAAAGGGGGGAAACCCUGAGGGAGCAACCCCGGGUGGGUGAUGAGGGUCUUCGGUUUGUAAAACCUUUUUAUUAGGGAAAAACAUAUGUGUAAGUAACUGGGCCCUUUUUGCCGGUACCAAACCAAAAAGCCCCGGCUAACUCCGU
rnacentral:rRNA from 1 species